GACGUAGGGGGCCAGCGUUGCUCGGAAUUACUGGGCGUAAAGGGUCCGUAGGCGGUGCGGUAAGUCGGGAGUGAAAUCUCUGGGCUUAACUCAGAGGCUGCUUCCGAAACUACCGUGCUAGAGUGCGAGAGAGGCAAGUGGAAUUGCGGGUGUAGCGGUGAAAUGCGUAGAUAUCCGCAGGAACAUCCGAGGCGAAAGCGGCUUGCUGGAUCGCAACUGACGCUGAGGGACGAAAGCGUGGGUAGCAAACAGG
rnacentral:rRNA from 1 species